CCUACGGGCGGCUGCAGUGGGGAAUAUUGCACAAUGGGCGAAAGCCUGAUGCAGCAACGCCGCGUGAAGGAAGACGGUUUUCGGAUUGUAAACUUCUGUUCUUAGUGAAGAAUAAUGACGGUAACUAAGGAGCAAGCCACGGCUAACUACGUGCCAGCAGCCGCGGUAAUACGUAGGUGGCAAGCGUUGUCCGGAAUUACUGGGUGUAAAGGGAGCGUAGACGGUUAAGUAAGUCUGGAGUGAAAGGCCGGGGCCCAACCCCGGGACUGCUCUGGAAACUAUUGAACUUGAGUGCAGGAGAGGUAAGCGGAAUUCCUAGUGUAGCGGUGAAAUGCGUAGAUAUUAGGAGGAACACCAGUGGCGAAGGCGGCUUACUGGACUGUAACUGACGUUGAGGCUCGAAAGCGUGGGGAGCAAACAGGAUUAGAUACCCGGGUAGUC
rnacentral:rRNA from 1 species